GAAGGGGGGGAUCUUAGGACCUCUCGCUACAGGGGCGGCCGAUGGCAGAUUAGCUAGUUGGUGGGGUAAAGGCCUACCAAGGCGACGAUCUGUAGCUGGUCUGAGAGGACGACCAGCCACACUGGGACUGAGACACGGCCCAGACUCCUACGGGAGGCAGCAGUGGGGAAUUUUGGACAAUGGGCGCAAGCCUGAUCCAGCAAUGCCGCGUGUGUGAAGAAGGCCUUCGGGUUGUAAAGCACUUUUGUCCGGAAAGAAAACGUCGUGGUUAAUACCCGUGGCGGAUGACGGUACCGGAAGAAUAAGCACCGGCUAACUACGUGCCAGCAGCCGCGGUAAUACGUAGGGUGCAAGCGUUAAUCGGAAUUACUGGGCGUAAAGCGUGCGCAGGCGGUCCGCUAAGACAGAUGUGAAAUCCCCGGGCUUAACCUGGGAACUGCAUUUGUGACUGGCGGG
rnacentral:rRNA from 1 species